GUGCAGCAGUCGCGAAUACUCCGCAAUGCUCGAAAGAGUGACGGGGGAUUCCAAGUGCCUACGCUUAGCGUAGGCUGUUCAGAUGCCUAAAAAGCAUCUGGAGUAAGGGCUGGGUAAGACGGGUGCCAUCUGCAGUGGUAAUGAAAAACUUGCUACUGCAAGGCAUAAGCCGCCGCGGUAAUACCCGCAGCCCGAGUGGUAGUCGCUUUUAUGGGCCUAAAGCGUCCGUAGCCGGUCUGGUAAAUGCCUGGGGUAAAUCGUGGGGGCCUAACCUCACGAACUCCGGUAGGCUGCCAGACUUGGGACCGGUUGAGGGAGAGGGUACUCCAGGGGUAAGGGGUGAAAGUCCUGUAAUCCUU
rnacentral:rRNA from 1 species